rnacentral:rRNA from 1 species
CCUACGGGUGGCAGCAGUGAGGAAUAUUGGUCAAUGGGCGGGAGCCUGAACCAGCCAAGUCGCGUGAGGGAAGACGGUCCUAUGGAUUGUAAACCUCUUUAGUCGGGGAGCAAUGCCGGGCACGCGUGCCCUGAGGGAUAGUACCCGCAGCAUAAGCAUCGGCUAACUCCGUGCCAGCAGCCGCGGUAAUACGGAGUAUGCGAGCGUUCUCCGGAUUUAUUGUGUUUAAAGGGUGCGUAGGGGGAUUGUUAAGUCAGGUGUAAAGUGUCCGGGCUCAACCCGGGCCGGCCGUUGAAACUGGGGAUCUUGAGUGGGCGAGAAGUAUGCGGAAUGCGUGGUGUAGCGGUGAAAUGCAUAGAUAUCACGCAGAACUCCGAUUGCGAAGGCAGCAUACCGGCGCCCGACUGACGCUGAGGCACGAAAGCGUGGGGAUCGAACAGGAUUAGAUACCCGGGUAGUC